UUAUUUUCUUGAUCAUUGAUCAUCAAUGUAUCAGACAUGGGCAUUCAUCAAUGAUUGUCUUUAAUUAUGCAAGUGAUUGUGUCGUGAUAGAUUAAUGGAUCGAUGCAAUCCGUGAUUAUUUGUUU
rnacentral:misc_RNA from 1 species